GAGUGGAAGAGUGGGGAGGGGGAGGAUGUGGACCUACAAUCAGCGGCGAAGUCUGUGGACACGUAAAUAGGUUGUUAGUCUCCUUUUUUGUGGUAGCAGAGAAUGGAGAGGGAUGAGUCGAAGAUUAGGGGUAAGAGGUUGGUACCGUCCGCGAGUGGAAGAGCGGGGAGGGGGAGGUGGAGGUUCGCGGAGUGGGUCGCCAAGGAGUUGUCGGGCGUCGACAGCGAGUUCAACGAAGGCGAAGAGAGGAGGACGGAGGGGGGAACUACGGCAGGCGGCGGCUGGCCUGGACCUACUUGCUCGUGCAGGAGUUGCGGUUCGUCCGCGUCACGAGAUCGUCAGACCGGAGGAGCCGCAGCUGCGUCAGACGUAGGUAGAUCAUGAUGUAGGUGGUUCUCAAGAUUUCUUGUCUCCUUCUAAGGACACGAACCUCAACUCAGUACACUAACAAGUCUAAAAAUUUCUGUACACGACGACGUACUACACGUGGCCCCUAUUCCUUUUUUUCUCUUCCGACAAGUCCACUGCUCCUUUGGUUUACCCUGCACCACGAUCCGGAGUUACUUAGGUUUUUCUCGAGUUACCACACAACAUAUAAGCAGACAACAAACUCUAUCU
rnacentral:rRNA from 1 species